rnacentral:lncRNA from 1 species
CUUCAUCUUCUAGUUCUCCUUGAAGAAAGGCAUUCUUCACAUCCAUCUGCCAAAGCUCCCACUCAAGAUUCACAGCCAGAGAUAAUACAAUCCUUAUUGUAUGGAGCUUAGCAACCGGAGCAAAGGUGUCAAUGUAGUCUUCCCCAUAUGUUUGAGUGUAUCCUCUAGCCACCAGUCUUGUUUUCUUUCUCUCAAUAGUCCCAUCAGGCUUGUACUUGAUAGUGAAUAUCCACUUGCUGGUUACUGCCUUCUUUCCUUUUGGCAGUUCACUUUCAAACCAAGUGUCAUUCUUUAUCAUGGCAUUAGCUUCAUCACCUACUGAUUCCUUCCAGUCUUCAUGUAGCAUUGCAUCUUCAUAUGAUCUAGGCACAUAGCUUCCAUCUAAGCUGAUCAUGAAUGCGCAAUGCUCUUCUGGAUAGGACGCAAAGGAGCACACAGCUUGAGAGGGAUGCUCCACAGCUUGGGCAUUGUAGUACACUCUUGUGUUUACCCAGUUGGAAGCAUCUCUCUUUAACCGUGUGCUUCUCCUCAAUGGAACUACUACAUUCUCUUCCACGGCUUCUUCUGGUAUCUGGCUUUCUUCACUAGCUUCCUGACCUCCAUGUUGAUCACUUCCCCUUGAGUCAUCUUCACUUUGAACAUGAGAGUCUGCGCUUUGUUGUUGAUUUUCGGCUUCACUUGUUCCUUGAACUUCAGUAUCAGCAGGUUCACUUCCCCCUUCAUGUUCUAAGUGAGAUGAUUCUUCAACUCUAACAGGUGGUGUUGCUUGGCGUUUGUGCUGAUCUGAUGACACUCCAAUACCAAGUCCUUGCAAAAUGUUUCUCAAGCUUGCAGCCCUGUCUGAUGGUUGGGAUAGAUCUUCAAGUUCUUCCCAAUUCUUCCCAUCAUAAUAGCCCUUUUCUUCAAAGAACUUCACCUCCCUUGAUACCAAUACUCUUCUGGUAUUUGGAUCAAAGCAUUUGUAUCCCUUUUGGGAUGUAGAGUAUCCAAUCAUCAUAGCUUUGGUACUCUUCUCUUCUAGCUUGUUCCGCAUUUCCCCGGGUACUAGCACAUAGCACACACACCCAAAGAUCCUCAAGUGUUCCAGCACUGGUUUACUCUUGUUAAGAACCUCAAAGGGGGACUGAUCAUUGAGAAUCUUGGUUGGUGUCCUGUUGAUUAGGUAGCUUGCGGUCAUCACUGCAUCACUCCAAUGCCUCUUAGGCACACUCGUAUAGAACAUCAUUGAUCUUGCCACCUCCAUGAGGUGUCUAUUCUUCCUUUCAGCCACUCCAUUUUGCUGGGGUGUAUAAGGACAGCUCGUCUGAUGAAGUAUUCCAUGGCUAGCUAGAUGUUCUUUGAACGCAUGACUUGUAUACUCCCCACCAUUAUCUGACCUGAAAAUCUUAAUCUUGGCAUUAUAGUGGUUAGUAACAUAGUUUUGAAAGUUUUUAAAUGCAUCAAGAACUCUAUCCUUUGUUUUAAUGAGUGUUAACCAGGUGUAUUUAGAUUUUUCAUCAAUGAAGGUGACAUAAUACUUGUAAUUAUCCCUAGAUAAACAAGGUGCAGUCCAUGUUGAGAUGAGAGAAUAAAGAGUUGAUAUAUUGAGAGAGGAAGAGAGUUGGAGUAGACAGUAACUUUGGAGUUUUACUGUGGUAACUUUAGUUUAACCACAGUAACAACUUGGGAAGUUAUCUGAUGGCAUGAGAAGGUAACUUAGUGAAGGGAAGAGAGUAAACUCGACCAAAGAGGAUAAGGAAGGAUAAGGGAGCCUUUGACAGCCUGUAUGAUGCUGGAAAGGAGAGGAUGCUUUUCUACUAGUGCAAGCAUGUGAGAAAGCACAGCCAAGUGAUUCAAAAGGAGUUCCAGCCUGUCCUUUGACUACACAUGCUUAUACAUUUCGAAAUUCCUUGUUGCUCUCUCUUUAUAUACUUGUAAACCCUCAUCAGUAUUAAUUAAUGGAGUUUUGAGUCUCUCUCUCUAGUCUCUCUCUUGUUCUUAAUCUCUAAUCUCUUUAAUUCUCAGAUUAAACUUAAUCACUCUUUAAAUCACAAAAUCUAAUAUGGUAUCAGAGCCAGGUUCCUUUAAAAGGAGAGAGUGAUUUCGUUUUCUAAAUGUCCUUGAGUGUUCUUGAGUGUUCUUGAGAGUUCUUGAGAGUUUGUCAAGAGCUAGAUCCUUUAAAAGUCAAGUUGGUGUCUGUUGGUGUUUCUUUUGGAGAGUCAGCCUCAAGGGAGUCCCUUUAGGUGUUUGACAAGGUCAGAAGAGGGGUCUAGUUUGUGGUUAAGCUUGGCGUGUGAGAUUAGAAGCAUUUGGGGGAAGAUCUAGGCUAAAGGUUGUUGCUUUAGGCUAAAGGUUGUUGCUUUAGGCUAAAGGAAAUGGAGCUGCUUCAAUCUGGUACAACAAGGCGUGAAGAGAAGAAAGAGAGAGGGAAUGAGUGGGGGUGGUUCUCACAAAUGAAAACAACUCUGAAAAGGUGUGGAGUUUGGAGAAACCAUGAGAAGGAAGAGUCUUUGAAGGGUAAAGCUGCUGAGAAAGAUCAGACAGCAAGAGAAACAAGUGGAGAUUGCUUUAGUCUUGAAGAAAGUAUACUGCUUGAGAAGAUUGAAGAUGUUUAUGAGAACAAGAUCAAUCUUAGGAGAGUGUGUGAAGUCAAGAAGGUGAUCAGUGAAGCUAAGCAAGGAAGAGAAGAGUUCAAUAACCAUGUGAGGAAGCUACAACACUUGUGGGUUGAACUACAAGGGUUGAGAUCCCAUGUGGAUGGGGAUGCUACACCAGAGCAAGAGAUGGUCUUGAAGCUCUUGGCGAGCAUGGAGUCAUCAUAUGGGUGGCUGGUGGAGAUGGUUCUAAGAGGGGAACAGCUUCCGGAAAUGGAAGAGAUCUGUGUGCUUAUAAGAAGGGCGUAUGAGAUAAUGAGAGAUGAUGAGAGGCUAACCAUGAGUAGGAGUGAGAGCUCAUGGAAGCCAAAUGGGAGUAGGAGUGAGAGCUUCCAGAAGCUAACCAUGAGUAGGAGUGAGGGCUCAUGGAGGCUAACCGAGAGUAGGAGUGAGGGCUUCCGGAAGAGGAGGAGGUGCAGAAUGCUAUCCAAAGCUUAUGUCAACAUAGGAAAGGGUAGGAAGAGAGUUGUGGGAGAGUGUUCUUACUCAGCCUACAUGGGGGAAUCAGUAGAAGACAGUGGGGUGUUAAGAGAGCAGGAGAAAGGGAGUGGAGCUGAUGAUCGCAUCACCAGGAAGGAAUGGAGAGUGUUCAUGGAACAUGUACAAGCCUUAGCAGUGUUGAGAUGAGGAGAUGGAGAGUGGAUACAUGGAUAGAGGAAGGGAUUUGGAGCAGGCAGUAACUUGGAGAUUUACCACAGUAACUUUAUUGUUACUGUGGUAACUGAGUUAAAAGACUUGGGAAGUUACCUUGCAUCUAUGUGAAGAGUGAAUCACGCCAGGAUGAGUCUGAAUAAGCAAGGAGGAGUUUGGAUAAGGUCUGGUCAAGGCUAGAGAGCUUUAGACAGGCUGGCACCAGCUGGAAAGCUAAAGCAAGAUGCCCAAGCAUGUGAGGAACCUUAUUGGCUAGUUUAAAUCAAGCAUCUUUGACUACACAUGCUUUCUAUCCUAGCUAGAGUGAACCUGGACGAAUUGAUGCAUCCCUAAUCUAUAUGUGUUGUAAACUCUCUCAUUAAUCAAUCUAAUGGAGUUUUGAGUCUCUCUCUAUUCUCUCACUAAAAUCUCUUAAUCUCUUUAAUCUUUUCAUCUGAUUAUCCUGGAUUAGUUGAAUCAUGCUCUAAUACACAAAAGUGUAUAUGGUAUCAGAGCCAGGUUGCGCAAAGUGGGAGAGUGUGAUUCCUUUUUCCUUAAAGUUAUUGAGUGUUCUUGAGUGUUCUUGGUGUUCUUAACUCCUGGGUUUCAUUAUCUUGGUGGCGUGAGAGGUUCUGGUGAAUCCAAAUCAUCUCAACAUGGAAAUGGAGCACAGACCUGAGUCAACUGUGAAGACUGAAGAGGAGAGGCUUGGCGAGUGGUCAAGGUGGGCUAAAAGAGCUUUGGAAAGCUGUGGGUUAUGGAGUAGUCAUGGAAAGGGGAAACCUUUCAUGGAAAUGGCUACUGAAGAAGGUCAGACAAGAGGUCUGAAGCUGGGAAAUGAAGUUGUUCAAGGAAACACUACAAAGAGUGAGAUUGAAGCAACUUUAGGCAAGUCCAAGCUUGUGAGAGUCAUUGAGGACAGAGGGGUGAUCCGCGGCUUGAGACAAGGAAAGGAUGAGUGUUAUCAGCUUGUGGGAAGGCUGAGAGAAGUGUGGUCAGAGCUAGAUGUGGUGAAGACACACACAUCAAAUCCGAGAUGUAGUCAAGAAAGGAGGAAGCAAGAUGUGAUCUUCAGCUUCCUUAUGGAAGAGGUAUGUGAGCUUGUUAAAUAUACUUGUGAUGUGUGGGAAAUGAACAGGAAGCCAGAAAGAUGGAAGGGAGGUACAAGCUGUAAGAGGGGAAGGUUGAGAAAACUUUCUAAGGAGUGGUUAAUGAAGAGAAGGGUAUGGAGAAAGGAUAGCGAGUCUGAGCACUUAAGUGGCAGGAUGAGUGUAAUCUUGAAGAGAAUCAAGGAUGUACUUCAGCAGAUGGUUAUAGGAGAGUGUUCAUACUCAGCUUACAUGGGAGAAACAGUAGGAGACAGUGCGGAUAUGAGAGGAAUGGAUACCAAGAGGGCAGAUGAGUGUGUGACAAAGAAGGAAUGGGAUGAGUUGGUUAAGCAUGUGUAUGCUUUGGCUACGACCCGGAGUCUGGGUGCUCCUGCCAAAGCAUCCACAUCUAAACCCAUCAUCAUUGACUCUGGAGCAACACACCACAUGAUCAGUGACAAGAGACUAAUCAGUGAGGUUAAAGCAGCAACAGGGAGUGUCAUGAUAGCCAAUGGUACCAGGAUCCCAAUAGAAGGAGUGGGAAACCUCAAGCUGUUUGAGAAGAACUCUACUGCCUUCUACCUACCUCAGUUUACAUCCAAUCUAAUCUCAGUUAAGAAGGCUACAGUUGAUCUGGAUUGUCAAGUGGUUUUCAGACCAAAUGAAGUUGAGUUCCAGGAUUUGAAGACUGGAAGGGUUAUUGGCAGAGGAGACAGCAAGCAUCAGCUCUAUCAUCUCCAAACAACUGAGGCGCCUAGUCCUGUGGAGUCUGUGUGUUUAAGCAGCACAACGGAUAGGUGUGAUAAUCUCACAUGGCAUGCAAGGCUGGGACAUCCUCAUGCCAAGGCAAUUGAACUGAUUCUACCAAGUAUGGCGUUCAAUCACUUGGAGUGUGAAGCGUGUAUACUUGGAAAGCACUGUAGGACUGUCUUCCCAACAUCAGAAACCAGAUAUGAGAAUUGCUUUGAUCUGGUGCAUUCAGACGUGUGGACAGCUCCCUGCAUGUCUAGAGACAGCCAUAAGUACUUUGUGACUUUCAUUGAUGAGAAGUCAAAGUACACAUGGAUCACCAUGAUUCCCUCCAAAGACAGAGUCCUAGAAGCCUUCAUGAACUUCCAAGCAUAUGUUACUAAUCAGUACAAUGCCACUGUGAAGAUUCUGAGGUCUGAUAAUGGAGGAGAAUACACUAGUAAUGCUUUCAAGAGUCAUCUUGCAAAGCAUGGGAUUGUGCAACAAACUAGCUGUCCUUACACACCACAACAAAAUGGGGUGGCAGAGAGGAAGAACAGACAUUUGAUGGAGGUUGCGAGAUCAAUCAUGUUCCACAUGAAUGUCCCUAAGAGGUUUUGGAGUGAUGCUGUUCAGACUGCUUGCUAUCUCAUCAAUAGAGUGCCAACCCGUGUCUUGAAGAAACUGUCUCCCUUUGAAGUAUUGAACAAGACCAAGCCACACAUUGAUCAUUUGAGAGUCUUUGGGUGCUUAUGUUAUGUGAUGAGUCCCGGAGAAAGAAGGAACAAGCUAGAAGCAAAGAGUACUAAAGCUAUGUUCAUUGGGUACUCAAUCACUCAGAAAGGCUACAAAUGUUAUGAUCCAAUAACUAGGAGGGUUAUGGUAUCUAGAGAAGUGAAGUUUGUUGAGUCUAAAGGGUAUUAUGAGGAGAAGAAAUGGGAAGACCUAGAGGAUCUGUCCCGAGCUCCAUCAGAGAAGGCAACAACAUUGAGGGUGUUGUUGGAGAGGCUAGGGAUAGGAUUAUCCCAAGAUCAGGAACCAGGAAGAACAGGACCUACUAAUCAAGCUGGAGAAGCUGGAGGAACAACUCCUCUUGAUCAUGAGAGGGGGAAUGGAUCUGAAUCAGGGGAGCAGGAGCAUAACCAAGAGGAUUCAGGUCAGCAUGAUCAGGAGGAGACACAGGAAGUAGAGAGUGGAGCUCAGUCAGGUGGAAAUGAGCAGGGAGAACCUGCUGGAAAUGAGCAGGGAGAACCUACUGGUUUAAGAGAGGAAGCACAAGAGAAUGUUCAGGCUGAAGAACAGGUUGAGACCUUGCGGAGGAGCACAAGGAUAAGGAGGGAUCCUUCCAACUGGGUAAACACGAGAGUGUACUACAAUGCCCAGGCUGUGGAGCAUCCCUCUCAAGCCAUGUGUUCCUUUGCUGAGUUUCCAGAAGAGCACAUGGUGUUUAUGUGUAACUUGGAUGAGAAUGAGAUACCAAGAUCUUAUGAAGAAGCUAUGAAGCACAAGGUUUGGAGAGAUUCAGUAGGAGAUGAAAGGGAUGCAAUGAUCAGGAAUGACACUUGGUAUGAGAGUGAAUUACCUAGAGGGAAGAAGGCAGUUUCAAGCAGAUGGAUCUUCACCAUUAAAUAUCUUGCAAAUGGGGAGAUAGAUAGGCACAAGACCAGGCUGGUUGCAAGAGGAUUUACACAGACUUAUGGAGAAGAUUACAUUGAUACUUUUGCACCAGUGGCCAAGCUUCACACAAUUCGAAUUGUGUUAUCCAUUGCAACAAACUUGGAGUGGGAUUUGUGGCAGAUGGAUGUGAAGAAUGCUUUCCUGCAAGGUGAGCUAGAAGAUGAGGUAUAUAUGCUUCCUCCUCCUGGUCUUGAGCAUCUAGUAAAGCCAGGAAAUGUUUUGAGAUUGAAGAAAGCUAUAUAUGGGUUGAAGCAGUCUCCUAGAGCCUGGUACAGGAAGCUGAGUACAACACUCAAUGGGAGAGGGUUCAGGAAGUCUGAACUAGAUCACACACUCUUCACACUGGUCGGGCCAUCAGGGAUCAUUGUGAUUCUAGUGUAUGUGGAUGAUUUGAUUAUCACAGGGAGUGAUAAGGCUGGGAUUAAAGCCACUAAAGAGUUUCUCAGGUCAGUAUUUGAUAUCAAAGACUUGGGAGAGAUGAAGUAUUUCUUGGGGAUUGAGAUAUGCAGAUCAAAGGAGGGUUUGUUCAUGUCUCAAAGGAAGUAUGCAAUGGAUAUGCUAAAGGAAGCUGAUGUGCUUGGAGGAAAGAUAGCUAAGACACCUCUUGAGGAGGGGUAUAAGGUCUUGCGUGAGGGGGAGGUUGAAGAGAACCAGUUGUUUGAGGAUGCUAAGCUGUAUAGGAGGAUGGUUGGAAAGCUGAUCUACUUGACGAUUACAAGACCUGAUAUAUGCUUUGCAGUGAAUCAAGUGAGCCAGCAUAUGCAGGCACCAAAGGUUCAUCAUUGGAAGAUGGUUGAUAGGAUACUGAGGUAUUUGAGUGGCACGUCUGGUCAAGGAGUUUGGAUGGGUUGUAAUGGCAGUACAGAAGUGGUUGGAUAUUGUGAUGCUGAUUGGGCAGGAGAUAGAGUGGACAGGAGAUCAACUACUGGGUAUUGUACAUUCAUUGGAGGGAACUUGGUCACUUGGAAGAGUAAGAAGCAGAAGGUUAUCUCCUGUUCAAGUGCUGAAGCUGAGUAUAGAGCCAUGUUGAAGCUGACAAACGAGUUGGUGUGGAUCAAGGGGAUCUUGAAGCAUUUGGAGAUUGAGCAGAGUACUCCUAUGACAAUGCAUUGUGACAAUCAAGCAGCUAUCCACAUUGCUUCUAACUCAGUCUUUCAUGAGAGGACGAAGCAUAUAGAAGUUGAUUGUCACAAGGUGAGGCAGAUGAUUAUACUUGGAGUGAUAUUGCCAUGUUAUACAAGAAGUGAAGAUCAGCUUGCAGAUGUGUUUACUAAGGCAGCGAGAGUAAAGACAAUGGAGUCCAUACUAUCAAGACUUGGACUCAUUGAUCUUACUCCUAGGAGCUGAGCCCCUUAACCAUGGAGUCUCCACUCUUUUUCCCUCAUCAAGGUUUUAUCCCAUUGGGUUUUCCUUGGUGAGGUUUUUAAUGAGGGAGGUCUUCAUGGUUUCCAAGCUUGACUUGUUCUACAUGGUCAAGCUUGAGGGGGAGUGUUGAGAUGAGGAGAUGGAGAGUGGAUACAUGGAUAGAGGAAGGGAUUUGGAGCAGGCAGUAACUUGGAGAUUUACCACAGUAACUUUAUUGUUACUGUGGUAACUGAGUUAAAAGACUUGGGAAGUUACCUUGCAUCUAUGUGAAGAGUGAAUCACGCCAGGAUGAGUCUGAAUAAGCAAGGAGGAGUUUGGAUAAGGUCUGGUCAAGGCUAGAGAGCUUUAGACAGGCUGGCACCAGCUGGAAAGCUAAAGCAAGAUGCCCAAGCAUGUGAGGAACCUUAUUGGCUAGUUUAAAUCAAGCAUCUUUGACUACACAUGCUUUCUAUCCUAGCUAGAGUGAACCUGGACGAAUUGAUGCAUCCCUAAUCUAUAUGUGUUGUAAACUCUCUCAUUAAUCAAUCUAAUGGAGUUUUGAGUCUCUCUCUAUUCUCUCACUAAAAUCUCUUAAUCUCUUUAAUCUUUUCAUCUGAUUAUCCUGGAUUAGUUGAAUCAUGCUCUAAUACACAAAAGUGUAUAAGCAGCAAGCAAGAAGCAUGCUAUACAAUCCGGAGCUUCUAAACCCAUGGUGAUUGAUUCUGGAGCAAGUCAUCAUAUGAUCAGUGAUAGGAGGCUUAUAAGUGAGAUCAAGGCUGCAACAGGGAGUGUUAGGAUAGCUAAUGGUGCUAUGAUCCCAAUAGAAGGAGUGGGAAAGCUCAGACUGUUUGAGAAGGACACGGCUGCCUUCUACAUGCCUCAGUUCACUUCAAAUCUAUUAUCUGUGAAGAAAGCUACCAUUGAUCUUGAUUGUCAAGUAGUAUUCAGACCUGAUGAAGUUGAGUUUCAAGAUUUGAAGACUGGGAGAGUCAUUGGCAGAGGAGACAGCAAGAAUCAGCUAUACCACCUCGACUUGGCUAAGACCUCUAAUCCCUUUGAUUCUAUUUGCUUGAGUAGUACUGCUGAGAAGAUUGAUAGUAUUACUUGGCAUGCUAGAUUAGGACAUCCUCAUGCUCGUGCCAUUGAAUUGAUAAUCCCUAAUAUGUCAUUCAAUCACUUGGAUUGUGAAGCAUGCAUAUUAGGAAAGCAUUGUAGGACUGUUUUCCCAACAUCUAAGACUACUUAUGAGCAUUGCUUUGAUCUAGUUCACUCGGAUGUGUGGACCGCUCCAUGCAUGUCUAGAGACAGCCAUAAAUACUUUGUAACAUUCAUUGAUGAGAAGUCUAAGUAUACAUGGCUCACAUUGCUUCCAUCUAAAGAUAAGGUGCUAGAAGCGUUUAUGAACUUCCAAGCAUAUGUAUCUAAUCAAUACAAUGCUACUGUGAAGGUACUGAGAUCAGACAAUGGAGGUGAAUACAUCAGCAAUGCCUUCAAGAGUCAUCUAGCCAAGCAUGGGAUUGUGCAUCAGACCAGUUGUCCCUACACACCACAGCAGAAUGGUGUAGCUGAGAGGAAGAAUAGGCACUUGAUGGAGGUUGCUAGGUCGAUGAUGUUUCAUGCAAAUGUCCCAAAACGUUUUUGGGGAGAUGCUGUACAGACUGCUUGCUAUCUCAUCAACCGGAUCCCAACCAAGAUACUGAAGAAUCUGUCUCCAUUUGAGGUGCUGAAUAAGAGCAAGCCUUUUAUUGAUCACCUACGGGUAUUUGGGUGUGUAUGCUAUGUCAUGAGUCCAGGAGAACAGAGAAACAAGCUGGAGGCAAAGAGCACUAAGGCUAUGUUCAUUGGAUACUCUAUCACUCAGAAGGGAUACAAGUGCUAUGAUCCUGAAGCAAGGAGAGUGAUGGUAUCUAGAGAAGUGAAGUUUAUUGAAUCAAAAGGGUAUUAUGAAGAAAAGGAGUGGGAAAAUCUGAAGGAUUUGUCUCAAGCUCCAUCUGAUAGAGCAACAACACUGAGGGUGCUGUUGGAGAAGCUAGGGAUAGGGUUAUCCCAGGAUCAGGAAUCUGGAAGAAGAGAGUCUUCCAAUCCGACUAGUGAAGCUGAAAGAACAACUCCUCUUGAUCAUGAGAGGGGGAAUGGAACUGAAUCUCAUGAGCAAGUGCAUAAUCAAGAUUCAGGCCAGCAUAAUCAAGAGGUGACACAGGAAGUAGAGAGUGGUGCUCAGUCUAGUGGAGAUGGGCAAAGAGAGUCUAAUGGCUCAGAUGAGAGUGGUACUCAGUCUAGUGGAGAUUGGGAAGUGGAUCCUGAUGGGUCAAAUGAGAGUGGUGCUCAAUCAAGUGAAGAUGGGCAAGAGCCACAAGAAGAACAAGUUCAGGAGCUGAGGAGGAGCACAAGGGUGAAGAGAGAUGCUUCCAACUGGGUAAACACGAGAGUGUACUACAAUGCCCAGGCUGUGGAGCAUCCUUCUCAAGCUAUGUGUUCCUUUGCAGAGUUUCCAGACGAGCAUAUAGCCUUCACAGUAAGCUUGGAUGAGAGCUAUAUUCCAAGGACAUAUGAAGAAGCUAUGGCUUUAAAGGAGUGGAGAGAUUCAGUUGCUGAUGAGUCCGGAGCCAUGAUUAAGAAUGAAACAUGGUAUGAGAGUGAGCUGCCUAAAGGGAAGAAGGCAGUGACUAGUAAAUGGGUGUUCACAAUCAAGUUUCAUCCUGAUGGAAGAAUAGAGAGGCGCAAGUCUAGGUUGGUGGCAAGAGGAUUUACUCAGACAUAUGGUGAGGACUAUGUUGAGACCUUUGCUCCUGUGGCUAAACUUCAUACUAUCAGGAUUGUAUUAUCUUUAGCUGUGAAUCUUGAGUGGGAUUUGUGGCAAAUGGAUGUGAAGAAUGCAUUCCUUCAAGGAGAGUUGGAAGAUGAAGUAUACAUGCAUCCACCACCAGGUCUUGAACAUCUAGUAAAGAAGGGUAAUGUGUUGAGGUUGAGGAAAGCUAUCUAUGGUCUCAAGCAGUCUCCAAGGGCGUGGUACAACAAGUUGAGUACUACACUGAAUGGGAGAGGGUUCAGAAAGUCAGAAUUGGAUCACACUCUCUUUACCCUAACCACCUCAUCUGGUAUUGUGGUAUUACUUGUGUAUGUGGAUGAUAUCAUCAUCACAGGCAGUGAUAAGGAAGGCAUCAAGGCUACAAAGGAGUAUCUCAAGGCAAGCUUUGAGAUUAAAGACUUGGGGGAAAUGAAGUAUUUUCUUGGGAUUGAGAUAUGCAGAUCAAAGGAAGGAUUGUUCAUGUCUCAAAGGAAGUAUGUGAUUGAUCUAUUGAAGGGAGCAGAUGCCUAUGGAGGAAAGACAGCCAAGAUGCCAAUGGAGGAUGGGUACAAGGUUCCACGUGAGGGGGAGAUUGAGGAUAGCAAGCCAUUCCAUGAUCCUAAGCUGUAUAGGAAGCUAGUGGGGAAGUUGAUUUAUCUUACCAUUACUAGACCUGAUGUAUGCUUUGCGGUGAAUCAAGUCAGUCAACACAUGCAAGUUCCUAAGGAGCACCACUGGCGGAUGGUGGAAAGGAUCUUGAUGUAUCUGAAUGGAACUACUGGUCUUGGAGUAUGGAUGGGAUGUAACAAGAGUACUGAGGUUGUAGGCUACUGUGAUGCGGAUUGGGCUGGUGAUAGAGCAGAUAGAAGAUCAACCACAGGCUAUUGUACAUUCAUUGGUGGUAACUUGGUCACUUGGAAGAGUAAGAAGCAGAAGGUAGUGUCUUGUUCCAGUGCUGAGGCCGAGUAUAGAGCAAUGCUGAAGCUUACAAAUGAGCUAGUGUGGAUAAAAGGGAUUUUGAAGCAUCUGGAGAUUAUUCAAGCAACGCCAAUGACAAUGCAUUGUGAUAAUCAAGCAGCUAUCCACAUUGCAUCUAACUCUGUGUUCCAUGAGAGAACAAAGCACAUUGAGGUUGAUUGUCACAAGGUGAGGCAGAUGAUGAUUCUUGGGGUGAUUCUACCUUGUUAUACUCGGAGUGAGGAUCAGUUAGCAGAUGUGUUCACAAAGGCAGCAAGGCAAAAGACAAUGGAGUCCAUACACAUCAGGUUAGGACUCAUUGAUCUCUCGCCUAAGGGCUAGUCUAUACACUCUCCUGAUCAUGUGAUCUCUACUCUUUUUCCUCAUUAAGGUUUUGUCCCAAUGGGUUUUCCUUAAUGAGGUUUUAAUGAGGGAGAUCUCAUGGUCCUUCCAAGCUUGACUUGUUCCACAUGGUCAAGCUUGAGGGGGAGUGUUGAGAUGAGAGAAUAAAGAGUUGAUAUAUUGAGAGAGGAAGAGAGUUGGAGUAGACAGUAACUUUGGAGUUUUACUGUGGUAACUUUAGUUUAACCACAGUAACAACUUGGGAAGUUAUCUGAUGGCAUGAGAAGGUAACUUAGUGAAGGGAAGAGAGUAAACUCGACCAAAGAGGAUAAGGAAGGAUAAGGGAGCCUUUGACAGCCUGUAUGAUGCUGGAAAGGAGAGGAUGCUUUUCUACUAGUGCAAGCAUGUGAGAAAGCACAGCCAAGUGAUUCAAAAGGAGUUCCAGCCUGUCCUUUGACUACACAUGCUUAUACAUUUCGAAAUUCCUUGUUGCUCUCUCUUUAUAUACUUGUAAACCCUCAUCAGUAUUAAUUAAUGGAGUUUUGAGUCUCUCUCUCUAGUCUCUCUCUUGUUCUUAAUCUCUAAUCUCUUUAAUUCUCAGAUUAAACUUAAUCACUCUUUAAAUCACAAAAUCUAAUAGUCCAAACAUCAGAGUGGAUUAAGUCAAAACAUUUCUCAUAAACUGUAACUGAUCUUUGAAACACACUCUUACAAUGUUUUCCCAAAAUACAAGCUUCACAAUCAUUAUUUUUAAACAUGACACCUGGUAACAUUAUGCUUAAGGCCCUAACAUGUGGAUGUCCUAGCCUAGCAUGCCACAAAGCAUCCUUACUUAAAGAAACCGAACUAAACGAGAAACAAGAACUAGAGAUAGGAGAGAGAUCUUCAAGCAUGUAAAGGUCUCCCUUAGUUGCUCCUUGGCCGAUCAACUUACUAUUAGAUUUUCAGAGCACAGGUUGUGUGUGGGCGUGAUGAAUCAACCUCCACAGGUUGGGACUGAGUCUUGUGUCAACAAUGGAAGAGAAUAAAAAGAGAGACUGAUGGAAGAAUAAGAAUGGCGUGAGAAUAAGAGACUUUGAGUGAGAGAUUGAGAGAUUAGAGAGACUGAGAGAUUAAGUAACCAGAGAAUAGAGAUUUGGAGAUUCAAAGUAACCAAAGACUAGGAAGGAGAAGGGGAAAUCCCCCUUACUCACUUAGAGCUUACAAAUCGUCUCUGCCUCUUAUUUAAAUAGGACAGACUGUUUUCUACUAGGGUUUACAGUCAGAUACAUCACACAUGUGAAGUCAAACAAGGAGGAGCCUUAUUUUGAAUUCUAUGGACCAUAAGCUUCACAUGCUUGGCCAAUAGGAAGCUUGGGCGUUCCUGGUCUUUACACAGGCUGUCAUGAGCUGUCUUGUGGACUGAAUAAGCCAAUAGGAGUGAAGACCUUAUCCAUACACGGACAGCAUCUUGCCUGAUCCUUUCCAAGGCCAUCCAAGAUGCCAUUUUGAUCCCUUCUUCAUGUAUAAGGUCCAAAUGAGUUUCUCCAUGCCUUGUGACCCAAGUCAUGACCAGACCAUGCUGUACGGACUUCCUGGCCGUACACAUUGUGCCCUAAGCUUGCACAUUCCUCAACUAUGCUUAAGUGGUCGAGAUGAUAAGUUUUGGGACGCCCUGGUCCGUACGGUCCGUACAGUCCGUACGGCCGUCCGUACGGAUCGCCCUAACUUUCUCAUUAACCAUUGCAGCCUAAACUCCUCCAAUGUUCUCCCAUGUCUGAUUAGAACCCUUCUUGGACAUUGCCCCAAUCUUGUAUCAGCUUCUCAUCACUUCUGAAGCUUCAUAGAACUCUUCUUAAGAUCUUCAAGAGCUUGCCCCUAUAUGUACAAGCUCCAUUCUUCUCUUCAGUUCAACACUCCCCCUCAAGCUUGACUUUAGGAGAUCCUAAGCCAAGCUUGGAACUCUGAAGAGUCUCCCUCAUUAAAAACCUUACAAGGAAAACCCAUUGGGACAAAACCUUGCAAGGGAAAAAGAGUAGAGCUCUUCAAAGCCUAGGGAUUAGCCAGUGAGCUCUUGUGCCUUAGAACCAGUGUGGUUGGACACAAGAAGCUCUGGAUCACGGCCUAACAGGUGCAGCAACUCUUCACAGCUUUGCGCACACUUCACACUUCAGCUUCACCUCUUCAUGGAACCGGUUUGAAGUCUCCCCCUCUCAACUGACUUCACAGCCAUCUUAGAGAGGCUAGGACACGACCAGAUUAUCUUCAAAACACUAGUGAGGCUAAUCAACACUUCACACACGGCUUGCCCUCUUCAUAGAACUGGUUUGGAUCUCCCCCUCUCAACAGACUUCUCAGCCAUCUUAGAGAAGCAGGGAACUGACCAGGAACAUCUUUAGUGAGGCUCAAGCAAUGGUACCUGAUACAUUAUCCCAAAGGUGCAUCAGUACCUAUCAAAAAACAAGAAAAUGAAUAUCCUGCAUCACACUUGAUGCACACAAUCUCACAACUCAAUCAUAAUCAUCUUAAGUAUCUUUUCAAGCACAAGCAAUGAAUAAGAUGAAUGAAAAAGAUUGAAAAGAGGAUUAAAAGUCUAAGGGAACUUCCCUUGUGUUUUUGUGAGUUUCCAAACUCUCUCAAUGCACCACCUUCAUGGCCUCAUCAACUUCUUGGAAAGGCAGAAUGGAUUCAUCAGCUUCUCCUCAAUCACCUCUCAUUGAAGCCGCAUUGAUGGAGAGCCUUCCUCCUCACUUGCCAAGGCUGCUCUGAACAGCCUCUUGCCUAGGCACGCCACUGCCUUGGUCCGGUUGAUGAUCCUUGUAGAAGCUUUUGCAAAAGACUUGUUACUGACCAUGGAUCAUAUGCAUUAAGACUCCCCCUCAAGCUUAGAACCGAAACCAGAAGGAGCUAAGCUUGUGAUGAUCCUAUGCAUCUCCAUGGUCUAAUAACUAUCAUCUUUCAUGAUAGCUUUCUUCUUGUGAGUUUACUCUCUUCCUUAACCAGGAACUAGGGUGUUUGAAUCACCAUAGAGAGUCUCACAAGACACACCUCUCAUUGCAUAAUGACCCAUGCUACACUUCCUGUAGACUAAGGACUAGAUAUGUCCAAUGGUAUUAUGCAAUGGCACAAGACCUUUGUCUUUACAUUCUUGGUUGUUGGUGAGUUACAUGUAUCCCAUUCCUUGUAUACCUAACACCACCACAACUCAAUGCAAGAUCAGAUCAUCCCAUUGGGAUCAAACCAAGAUUAUCCAUCCUGUUUGAUCACCAAUGCCACAAUAAUAUAUGAUACUUGAAACAAGCUAGACAAUCAAGCAAAGACAAUCAAUUCAGUUUUUUUUAAAUGCAACAAUAACUGAAUGCAUUAGGUUACAUACUCACUAUAUGAAUGAAAUAGAUUUAACCCAAAUGAAACACAAGCCUAGAUGAUACUUAUGCAAUCAAGGCGACAAGAGUGACACAAUUCAUUCUUAUGCUCACUAGUUUUAUCAAUGCCAAUGAUCCAAAUAGCUUAGACAUACUUCUAAAUGCUUAUAAGACAUCACUGAUGGAUUUAACUAUGGCAUAGCAACAAUCAGAACUUUAGGCUCAUUUUUAAAUGCAUUACUACAUGAAUGCACAAUCUUAAAGCUUUAGCUAUAUGAAUGCAACAGGUUCAAUCCAUGAGCAAUAUUAAGGCUAUGCACAACAGUUUCAAUCAAAACCAAUGAUGCAAACAACUUAGACAAUUUCUAAUUGAUGCAAGACUUUCAUUGAUGGAUUAAACAUAGGCAAUAGCAUCAGAUAACAAAAGGAUUGAACUUAGACAGUAUGAGAUAUGAUUAUGUAUGCAAAAUAACUUAUCAAUCAUGACGCAAGCAGCAGAGACAUUCUACUCAAUUCUACAACACAUUCAUGAUGAUUCAAGCUAUGACAACACUCAAGACAACGCAAUAAACAAAACAUGAGAUUCUGGGACUCUAGACAUUACUUACUAUCAAUAUGACAAUGCAACAGCAAAACAAUUUCAGUGCAAUUAGCCUAGACAUUCUACUAGAAGCUAUAAACACUUAAUGGAAUUAGGGAAAGCACAUAGUAUAAUCAGGAGUUAAACCUAUCAAGACAUAUUAAGAUAGAUGAGAUUAGGUUUACUCCCUUGGUUAAGAUGAUGAGGAGUGGUUCUCAGAGUUACCACUUGAAUCCUUACUUCUUCUUCUUCUCUUAUUGCAAUCACCCUUCUGAAGUCACCACCAUGAUGGAAUGCUUGUGGAUGCUUCAGCUACUUCUUCAAUCACCUCACAAUAGAAGCCGCCUUGAUAGAGUAGCCUUCUUCUUCACACAGCCAAGAGUGCUCUGUCUUAGUUUGAGCACCCUCUUGAAUAGGCACGCCACUGCCUAGACCCGGUUGGCUUCUUCUUCUGAUACUUGCAAUGUUAAGAAGAAGAGCACGAGUGAGUUCUACAACCAUCUGUGCUUCUCCCUUUCUUGUAACACCUCUCCAUUGUACACACAAUGGGCAUCAUUCUUUCUCUUUCAACUCGGAUUUGAUGAUGAACUAGGAGCACCUUUUGUGAACCUGAAACAUCACUCAAACUCUAGCCAAGAUAAGACACAAUUGCAUUGGGAUCAAUCCUUGACUUCAUCAAGUUUGAUCACCAAUGUCUCAAGCUUUAUAACAUUAGAUAGAAUCAAGACAAUGUCAAGUUCUUAUCUAUGCAAGCAACCAUUCUCUAAAUACUAAGCAAGACCUUAUCAGAUUCAAGUCAAAGUAUUUAGGCAAUUUUAAUCACUCCUUAAUAUGCAACUUAGACUUUAAUCUAAAUGCAACAAUCCAAAGCAGCAACAAGGCAGUAUGCAUUAAUCUUAACAGUUUCUAACUCAUGAAAGCAAGUAUGAUCAGAUAGUAUAAUCUAUCAUCUUAACAAGACAAGUUAAUUUAGAGCUGUCAUUAAGCAUUUACCAUUUUCAAUAGUAUUGAUGUCAAAACUUGAUUAAUAAAUCAUCAAGUUUGAUUCCCAAUAACACAAGCAAUGCAACAGAUAGACACAAGGUAUUAUCAAGUUCUAUUCUUUGCAAGCUAGCUCUCUAAGUACAAGCAAGAUCCUAACAGAUUCUAGACAAGUUACUUAGGCACUUUUAAAACUUCUUUACUCAGCAAUUUAGACAUGAAUCUAAUGCUUCAAUGUAAGACAGCCACAAGACUAUAUGCAACAGCUUUAAAUUCAGUUUCAAUCAAUGUAUGCAAGCAGAUUCACUUAAUCACAACAAGCAUCACUAGGGCGUGGCUAGGACAUGAGAUCCUGGGACACAAGACACUACUCAAUGCAAACAAUGUGACAGCGAAACAACUUCAGUACCAUUAUGCAAGUAGCUUAGACAUUCUACUAGAUGCUACAAUAUUAAUGGCAUUUUAGUUAUGGCAAUCACACAGAACCAACCACACCACACAACACAACCGUUUAAUAAAGACACAAGCUUUAAGCAAGGGAAGGAGGUUUAGCUUACAAACCAAGGAACCUGUGCUGGUUCCUUGAACCUCCAAGGCAACACGCAUCAUAAAUGGACAGGUCUGAGCUGUUGGUUUGAGAACCAACAUCUCCUUCUUUGCCUGGCCUUUCUCCUUGAACCCACCAUGCCAAAAACACCUCCUUUCACCAUGUUUGAGUCGCCACCACAAGACCCAAGUAGAAAGCUUUCUUCUUGAAAGGUUCUUCUUGGACAGAGAGUAGGAAAGGCUUGGACAUGCUUCCAAUGGCCUUCUUUCUUCAGGACGGACAUGAGAGAGUGUAGAACGACCAAGGACAGCUCCUGGACACCAUGGAUGAGCACAUCUUCUUCUUGAAGAGGUUGAACAGCCGGCUGGACCAUGAAGCUUUUUCUUGGCUUGAAAUGGCAUGGGAGUGAGUUUGUGCUUGAGCGGAAGCUGGAACCAAGUUCUGAUGAACCUGGCUCUGAUACCAUAUUAGAUUUUCAGAGCACAGGUUGUGUGUGGGCGUGAUGAAUCAACCUCCACAGGUUGGGACUGAGUCUUGUGUCAACAAUGGAAGAGAAUAAAAAGAGAGACUGAUGGAAGAAUAAGAAUGGCGUGAGAAUAAGAGACUUUGAGUGAGAGAUUGAGAGAUUAGAGAGACUGAGAGAUUAAGUAACCAGAGAAUAGAGAUUUGGAGAUUCAAAGUAACCAAAGACUAGGAAGGAGAAGGGGAAAUCCCCCUUACUCACUUAGAGCUUACAAAUCGUCUCUGCCUCUUAUUUAAAUAGGACAGACUGUUUUCUACUAGGGUUUACAGUCAGAUACAUCACACAUGUGAAGUCAAACAAGGAGGAGCCUUAUUUUGAAUUCUAUGGACCAUAAGCUUCACAUGCUUGGCCAAUAGGAAGCUUGGGCGUUCCUGGUCUUUACACAGGCUGUCAUGAGCUGUCUUGUGGACUGAAUAAGCCAAUAGGAGUGAAGACCUUAUCCAUACACGGACAGCAUCUUGCCUGAUCCUUUCCAAGGCCAUCCAAGAUGCCAUUUUGAUCCCUUCUUCAUGUAUAAGGUCCAAAUGAGUUUCUCCAUGCCUUGUGACCCAAGUCAUGACCAGACCAUGCUGUACGGACUUCCUGGCCGUACACAUUGUGCCCUAAGCUUGCACAUUCCUCAACUAUGCUUAAGUGGUCGAGAUGAUAAGUUUUGGGACGCCCUGGUCCGUACGGUCCGUACAGUCCGUACGGCCGUCCGUACGGAUCGCCCUAACUUUCUCAUUAACCAUUGCAGCCUAAACUCCUCCAAUGUUCUCCCAUGUCUGAUUAGAACCCUUCUUGGACAUUGCCCCAAUCUUGUAUCAGCUUCUCAUCACUUCUGAAGCUUCAUAGAACUCUUCUUAAGAUCUUCAAGAGCUUGCCCCUAUAUGUACAAGCUCCAUUCUUCUCUUCAGUUCAAC